UCCGGAGAGGCUUCGGUUGUGUUCGGUGGGUGCUCCGGGCACCGUCUCUCACCAGUUAUUGUUAGGCAGAGCUUCAUGUUGCUCAUUUAAAUAAGGGGUUGUAUGGUGAGGUCAUCUGUUCAAGUGUUUAGUUUGUGUUGUUAGUCGGUGUAAAGCAAUACUCUGUUCAGCUUUAAUUUAAAAUAAUUAUUUUUAUAUUUUAGUGUUUUUGGUGAAAUCAUAUUACAUCACAUUUUAAUAAUAUUAUGGGUUACACAAUGAGAACAGAUGCCACAGGUCACCUACAGUCCGUCUGUCUGUGUGCAACAUGCUGUACAUCCAGUUGUUACCGUGAAUUGAUAGACGAUGUUAAUUAUAAUAGGCUUCAAUCUGCAGGCGACGUGUGGAGCCGCAGCCGUGACGAGACAGGUGUCACACCGUGAUGGAAGCUGAGCGUUAUGUGCGCGCAGUGUGGCGCCGCACAACAGGGCGUAGCGUACUACGGCGUAGCACCGGUGGCCGCUACGUGCUACGAGCUACGAGCAGUCUAAUGUUCAGUGAAGUCGACAGAUGGCGACGGCGGUGCAGCCGGUGACGGCGCGAGCCUUCAUUCAACAUGGACAUCGAGACUGAGAGUCGUCGGCGCCGGCCGCGGCCGAGCGGGUGUCUGACAAAAAGGCGACAGCGCGGGCUCGGCGGAGGUAGCCCUGUCAUUACGGAGGAUUCCCACAGUGCGUAACAAGCGCGCGCCGCCGCCCGCGCCGCCCGCCCCGCCC